AAUUGAAUAACCUUUCAAAUGAGCUAACACACGACCCCUAUUCUUAUUUAAAAAAAAAUCAUCGAUUACGUAAUCACGCCCAGAUGGAUGACGUCACUUAUGUGUUAUAUACGCCAAAAUAUCAUAAUUUAAAAAUAAAAAUCGACCUGUUUCGGGGUUUUUCCGUAAAGUCGCCGGUUUACGCAAUAUCGAAUUUAUUCCUUUUAUUUGCACCAUACUGUAUAGUUUGUUCCUUUUGACUGAGUCGUAUCAAGGGCGCCCCCAGGGAGGGGCCAGGUGGGGCCAUCGCCCCCCCUGAGAAUUUGGCGAAAGCGUGUAAAAAAUAUUUAGCUCUCUCUUACUUUAUAUUAUAAAAUAAAUUCCAUAUUAAUCAUAAUCGCUCACGAGAUAUGCCAGUUUAAAUGUAUUUUUUCUCAAUCCCUUAUCCCUUCUGACUGAGACGCAUAUGUUUGGAUGGAACCGCAUCGUUUUCGGUGCGCAUGCCGCAUGCACUGAUGAUGUCCGGUCUAGGCUUAUCCAGUUGAGAAAUGAAAUAGGUGGGCUGAACGGCCGAUCUGAUACGUCUAGUAGUACGGUAGUGCUCACAAUUUAUAUACUGUUAUUCAUAGAACUUAUAUUAACGUGUUAAAAGUGUUUUUUGUGCAACGUCACUCUCAAACGUGUGAAGACCUGGAUAAGGAAUACGAUGUCGAACAAUCGUCUAAGUGGGCUAUGCCUGUUAUCUGUACACAGAAGAAAAAUAAAAGAAAAUAAAGAAAACUUCAUGCAGAAAGUAAUUGAUUUAUUUGCGAUGGACACCAGAAGAAUUCAAUUAUUAUUUAAGUAACAUUUUACUGACACUAACCGUGUUGCGUUUUAAACAGCAAAACAAUUUUUCUUGUA